UACUUCACCUGACGCGGCCGUCCCCAACGCCGUGCCUUUCUCCGGCGCCGGCGCGCCACCAUGGGAACCGUGGAUGAGGGGGACGCGACGGAGGUGGCGGCGGCAAGCAGGUGGCCCGGUUCCUCCCGCCGGAACCACCUCCUCCAGUUCCUCCUCCACGCCUCCAAGCGGCUCGACCUCCGGCCCAUCGUCAAGUACUCCGCGCUCGAGUUCUUCGACGCGCGCUUCCUCCCCGCGCUCCCGAGGAAGAUGGGGUUCUGCGGCGCACGAAGCGGCCGAGCCGUCAGGUCCUGGCUGGUCGAGCCCCUCAGGGACAGCAAUCUGCAGCUCUUCGCCCUCGUCGCCGUGUGGAUCGCCAGUAAGAUCCAUGAGAUGAGACCACUGGCAGUGAAGAGCCUCAAGGCGCUCAGCGACCGCAUCAUCGUCGACCAGCAUUUCACAUGCCGCGAUUUCGCUGACGCCGAGCUGGUGUUCAUGGAGGUAUUGGAUUACAACAUUGGAUGCACAAACAUUGCUUUCAUACACUUGGAAGAGCUCCUCAUUCAGUUCAGGGAAAUAUCAAAGUUAGGUGAUCUUGUCAAUAUGGAUGUGUGCAUGGAAAUCUUGGAUAUUCUGUAUGAGACUGAAGAUACCUCAUGGCUUUUUAACUUUGCCUGUCCACUGGCUGCUUCGACUCUUGUUACUGCGUACGUUAUCUCAGUUCCUAAGCAGAAAUGGGAGUUUCCAAUAAUUCCCUGGGUCCAGUUCACUACUUCGUAUGCUGAAGAAGAGAUCUUGAAGAUUGUUAUGACAAUUCUCAUGCAUGUGAUCAAACCGGAUGAAAUCAAAGAGAAGAACAAGAGAGAUUUCAGUAUGUGAGGCUUGUGCAUCGGUGAUGUGUACAACACAACUGGCAGUGUCCAAAUUUUACCAAUUCCAGUUUACCACUUCAUAUGCUGAAGAAGAGAUCUCGAAGAUUGUUAUGACAAUUCUCAUGCAUGUGAUCAAACCAGAUGAAAGCAAAUAGAAGAACAAGAGAGAUUUCAGUAUGUGUACAACACAACUGGUAGUGUCCAAAUUUUACCAAUUGAUGCUUGCUAAUUAAUUCUGUACAAAGUGGCCGAAGUAUUGAUGCUGGAUCUCUCCUGAGUUAUCCCCUCAUGUCAAUGCGGCAGUGGCACUUGGCAUUUUAUUUUACCUGAGGGUUACGAUAACAUUGAAAUCUCGCCAUCUUUUUUUUAUGUACAAUUGUAAACUACAUAUGAAAAUAACGGAGUUGCAUCGUCAGAUACUGAUCAUAUGCUGAACUGAUGAAGUAGCAUAUUCGUAGAUUUUAUUCAGCAUAUGCAUAUAGAGAGGGCUCCGAGAGUUGAUGGGAUAUUCUCAUAAUAAGAUAUUCCUUGUUCAAAUUUUGUAGGCCAUGAUUUGGUUUUGUGUUUGCAGACAGAAUAAUCCAUAUUUUUUUAA